UUGCAGCUUAUUAAGCCGACCAGACUGCGUUCUGUGCAGCUCUGGUGUGCAAAGGCUGCAUAGAGUGACUCUCUGGUUGUGUAUGCACCAAGCUGGGAGGUGCUGGGUGCUCUAAGGGACCUCUGAGACAAUC